UACAGAGGUGGCAAGCGUUGUUCGGAAUUACUGGGCGUAAAGGGCGCGUAGGCGGUUCGAUAAGUCCCGUGUGAAAUCCCUCGGCUCAACUGAGGAACUGCACGGGAAACUGACGGGCUUGAGUUCGGGAGAGGGAAGCGGAAUUCCGGGUGUGGCGGUGAAAUGCGUAGAUAUCCGGAGGAACACCGGUGGCGAAGGCGGCUUCCUGGACCGACACUGACGCUGAGGCGCGAAAGCUAGGGGAGCAAACGGG
rnacentral:rRNA from 1 species